CACCGGCGCCUCUCCUCCUUCCUCGCGCCCCGCCUGCUUCGCACCGACGCCCCCGCGCGGCCCCUCGCCGCCGCCACCCCCGCCCAGCGGGUCCGCCUCUACGGCACCGACGACCGCGACCCCUCCCGCGCCGUCCUCACGCUCAAGCGCCGCCCGCGCAUCGACGCCGGCGUCAGCCGCGUUGAGGAGGUCGUGGAGCCCCUCGACCCCGCCCUCGUCCUCACCUGCGUCGACAACCCCGCCCGUCUCGGCGCGGUCGACUCCCCCAUCGUCCGGCUCGUCUCCGACGAGUACGGCCUCGGCAGGGACAAAGCGCCGUUCGUCUGCCUCGGCGGCUUUCGGAACACCCGCGGUGUGUAUGAGCUCGAGGAGUGCCAGGGGCAGGGGCUCAUGCUAGAGCUCGACGAGACACACUUCGAUUUCGGCACAAACUAUGAGAUGGAGUGCGACACCGCGGAGCCCGACCAGGCCAAGGAGGUCCUGGAGCGGCUGCUCACCGUGCCUGGGGUGCCGUAUGAGUACUCCCGCAGCAAUAAGUUCGCGUGCUUCAUGGCCGGGAAGCUGCUUCCGUGA
rnacentral:rRNA from 1 species